CAGACCUGGUGAUAAUUGCUUCUAUAGAAAGUUAGCACAUGGCAGUGUCAAUCUCUUGCUUUUCUUCUGAGUAGUAUUUUAUUUAGUUGUAAUUCAAACAAUAAUUUGCUUCUUGAAAUUAAGGAAUUAAUUAUUUUUUUUCUUUAUAAAUCUCAGAUCCUGCCUUUACCUGCUCCCUCCUAUACUGAUGUGGUGUAUGUGGUAUUGCUGAGCUUGUAUGUGGUGGAAGCAGAAUAUGUGAGGAUUACUACUGCUGCACAUGUUCCAAGGCUUUUUACACAACUUGACCAAUACACUGACCAGCUCAUAAAAGUCUUCAAGAAAAAAGGAGGCGUUGCAGGGAAGAAAAUUAGACAAACUUUGGCCCCAGCCACACAGAAGGAAACCAUUGAAAAGGGGAGGGAGUGUGUCCUCAGGGCACUACCUUUUUACCUGAAUGAAGACCCAAGCAUCCUCUUCAAAGAAUAAUUGCUACAGCUGUUCAGAGGGAGCUGGAACAAAUUACCCUUGCUAUCUUUACCAUCGAAAGAGCUGAUGCCAGCACUCCUCCAGCCGAUGUGGGUGUAAGCGCCAGACGUCUGCUUUAUAUUUUUAUUUACGAUUGAGUUCAUGUUUGUUUUAUAAUUCAUAGAUUCAUUACAUAAGUCAUCUUUUCAGGAUUAAUAAAUGUGAAAAUAUAUGUGUUUACAUAAAGUAAUUUUAAGUCACUGUUUUGGGAUUGGAACCUAAAAGGGGGUACCUCUCACUUUAAUUAUGUAAGUGCAAUAGUAGCAUGAAACCCUGUGUGAGAGGGAAGGGGAGGAGCAUGGACAGAGAGGUUAGGAGUCUCACGGUUUUCUGACCGUGUGCACAGCUAGUUCUGGAUAACUGCUAUUUUUUGGAACUUUCAUGCUUUUUAGGAAGGAGUUCAUUGUUACAUCUUCCGUUUGUAAUAAAUAAACAGUCUUCAAAUCAUAAUGCAACUGGAAGCAUUUCUUUUGGAAACCAGGAACACGCGUCAGCCAUAGACUCUUCUUUUUUGAACUUGGUUUAUUGGAAAUUACCCUACAGUGGGUAUAACCAUCUAGUGUGUCCUGCAUGACCUGGAAGACCUGGCCUCUGCAUGUGCACUCUUAAUGGGUGGGAUAUAUGCACUGAAUCUCAGUUAACCUCAAGACUGAAAGCUAAGAGACAAUCAAAAGUAUUGAGAUUUAAAGGAUUUAAUUGAGAGAUGAUACUGCACCAGAAAUGUUGAAGGGUGGUGUGUAUAUUAGCGUUCAAGGCAUAUUGUUAUGAGGUGGAAAUAUGUUCAUAUUCAGUUUGUGUUACAUUGUGUGCAUUGUAAAGGUAAUUGCAAUACAUACUAAAAUUAAGGGUAAGUUAGGAGGUUGAUCUGAUAUCCUCGUGUUGGUGUUGUUCCCAGAUCAUCAUACUAAAUGUUGUUCCAGGAUCAA